UGCAGUCGAACGGCAGCACGGGAGCAAGCCUGGUGGCGAGUGGCGAACGGGUGAGUAAUAUAUCGGAACGUGCCCAGUCGUGGGGGAUAACGCAGCGAAAGCUGUGCUAAUACCGCAUACGAUCUCUGGAUGAAAGCGGGGGACCUGUAAGGGCCUCGCGCGAUUGGAGCGGCCGAUAUCAGAUUAGCUAGUUGGUGGGGUAAAAGCUCACCAAGGCGACGAUCUGUAGCUGGUCUGAGAGGACGACCAACCACACUGGAACUGAGACACGGUCCAGACUCCUACGGGANGCACCACUGGGGAAUUUUGGACAAUGGGCGCAAGCCUGAUCCAGCCCUGCCGCGUGCAGGAUGACGGCCUUCGGGUUGGAUNCUGCUUUUGUACGGACCGANAAUGCUCUUUUUAAUAAAGAGGGCUCAUGACGGUACCGUAAGAAUAAGCACCGGCUAACUACG
rnacentral:rRNA from 1 species